rnacentral:misc_RNA from 1 species
AGUACAGUUAUUCUACCCUUCGUGAUGAUAAAGUUUGUUUUCGUUGAAACUGAUUUUCUCUCGUGAAUUAAUAAAGCUCUUGUAGUUUUUUUAAGGAUAGCAACUAUUCUGAAACUAUCAUGCGACUGUUUAAUAAAGGGCUAGUUCGUGGUGAAGUAUGAUUUAUACGUUUAAGUGUUGAAAGCUAAAAAAAUCGGCGACGUUUUUCUGCUAAGCUUUAACAAUAGCAACGUCUAUGAUAUAAAGGAAGUCAGUUAUAUUUAUGAAAAUAGUGCGUAAAUUUCAUGUUUUAGGAGAUUUGUAAUAAUUCAUGUGGCAAAGGCAAUAUUUUAAAAGAACAUAUACAUACUGAUGCAAAAGAGAAACUUCAUGUGUCUGUAAUUUGUAACAAAUAAUUUAGGCAAAUGAGUGAUUUAAUAGAACAGCUGCUUAUUCAUGCAGGACAGAAACUUCAUAUGUGUGAAGUAGGUACGGAACAAUUUAAUCAAAUGAAUAGUUUAAACAUGCAUAUGCAUGUUUAUGCAGGAAAGAAAAUUUAUGUGUGCAAAAUAUGUAAAAUGCCAUUUAAUCACAAAGGUUAUUUAAAGAAUCAUAUGCUUAUUCAUAAAGGAGAGAAACCUCACGUGUGUGAAGUGUGUGAGAAGUCAUUUAGGAGCAAGGGUGCUUUAAACAUGCAUAUGUAUACUCACACAGGAGAGAAACCUCAUGUGUGUCAAUUUUGUAAAACGUCAUUUAGUUUAAGAGGUAAUUUAAAUAUGCACAUGCUUAUUCACACAGGAGAGAAACGUCAUGUGUGUGAAGUAUGUGAAAAGUCAUUUAGAUUAAAAGCUACUUUAAACAGGCAUAAGCUUAUUCACACAACAGAGAAAUCGCAUGUAUGUGAAGUUUGUAUGAAGUCAUUUAGAUUAAAAACUUCUUUAAACAGGCAUAUGCUUAGUCACACAGCAGAGAAGUCUCAUGUGUGUGAAAUAUGUAAGAAAUCAUUUUGUCAUAAAACUAGUUUAAAUGCACACAGGCUUACACACACAGGAGAGAAACCUCAUGUGUGUGAAGUAUGCAUGAAAACAUUUACUCAAAAGUGUAGUUUAAACAUGCAUAUGCGUAUUCACACAGGACAGAAAUCUCAUAUGUGUGAAGUAUGUAAGGAAACAUUUACCCAAAAGGUUACAUUAAACAUGCAUAUACUUACUCACACACAAGUGAAACAGCACGAGUGUGAGGUAUGUAAGAAGUCAUUUAUACGAAAGGUCAGUUUAAAUAAACAUAUGCUUACUCACAGUGGAGAAAAACCUCAUAUGUGUGAAGUAUGUAAAAAAUCAUUUAGACUUAGACAGAAUUUAAUUGCCCAUAUGCGUAUUCACACAGGAGAGAAACCUCGUGUGAGGUAUGGAAGAGGUCGUAUAGUCCAAAAGGUAAUUUAAACAUAUGCAUAUUCUUACGGGAGACAAACCUUGCAUGCGAGGUAUGUAAAUGUGAUAGUAAAUAGUGAUUUAAAUUUCUGAUUUCUUUACUGCUAAUGGAAUUGAAGUCUUAUAAGUUAACUAGUCAUUUUGACAAAUGAAGAAACAUGUUUAUGUAUGCUGAAAGAAGCUUUAUAUCUGAAGGAAGAUUUAGGUUAGUAACAACCUGUAAUUUUCAGUGCAAUAGGACUUAUGCAUGAAGCAUAGAAUCUUCACUAUGUAAGGUCAACUAUGUUUUAAUUGCAGUGGAUAGCAAAAUUCCUAGAAUUUAGAGAUCACUCACCGUUAGAAUUUAAGAUAUGCAGAUUACUUUUUAGGAUCAUCAAUGUGCCAUGUGGCCUAGAGUCUACUGCUGACCCUGUGUGACGUUGGAGGAACAAUUAGUCACUAAUUAUUGGUAACUUUUCGGGAGGACUGAGGCAGCAUCUGAAGACAAUGCUUAAUCUACCCCAAAGUUGUUUUGAAGACUACUUUGGAUAUGUAAAAUUCUGAGCCCGGGAAAA